UCGCAAAUGAUAAAACCCUAACCCUCGGGCCCUCGGAGUCCCAAGCGAGAGAGAGAGCAGAUCUGAGAAAAUGAGAGAUGAGAAACACAGAGAAGGUCUGGAAAUCCUAACAAUGGCAUUGGCUCUGUGAUCGGAGCCUCGUUGUAGAUCAGAGAGUUGAGCGUGCAGAAAGAGAGAGACGACGGGCCAUGAAGAAAAGCUCCUCAAAUGCGAUUCUUGUUUUGCGAGGUUUACGCCUCGAUGUCCGCCAUUGAUCCACGAUCGGAUCCGUUCAAGAGCUCACCGUUGAAAUCGCGUAGUAAUUAACACCAAGACCAGAGAUCUGAUGGGGCUAGGUACACUCCCUGGCAGCUUGCUCAAGAUGCGAUAGGGUGCGAUGUGGAUUGAUAGAGGCACUGACAGCGGGCCUUCCCUUAUCUUUAAGGAUAUCUAAAACCAGAGGCUACGAGGAUUUCGCCUCAAAUUUCCUUUUUGUUUUUUAACUAAUUUCAUCUAAUUUUAAUCAAAACAAGUCUGUAUAAUAUCAGUUCUUUUAUUUGAGUGAUGCGGAUUGUAGUUUUUACUUGUAUUGUAUGCAUGGUUUUCUUUUUCU